UAGUGGGAUCCGUUCUGGCUGGUCUCACAAGAUCUUGGAAAAGAGAAGGUUUGUGCUUUAUCCACCUUUGUAUCUCCAGUUCCUACAAAGAUGCCUGGUCCAUAGAACUUCAGUCCUGGUAACGGUAGCAAAACAGUCAGCCAAAGGUCUAAAGAGAAAAACUAAUCAAGAGUAAAGAAGAGAAACCACAAGAAGUGAUACUGCGUUCACUUGGGGAUUAUUUGUGAUGAGAUUGAAUAUAAAUGUAAGAAUCCCGGAAAUGUCAAAAGAAGGCCUUGGAUAAAGCACUCAAAGCCCUGUUUAUCUGUGGGAAAAAGAUUUGUAUUUAGUAGUGGCCUAGUUUUUAAUUUUUCCUGCUCCUCAUAAGGUUUUUGUCCCCUGCACAUAAGGGUUUAAUGCAACUGGUUUUGAAAUAUUUCCCAUUUUGAAUUUGGAAGGCUUAUACUUCAGACCCAGGCUUUUCCUCUCUGUUCUUCCUUUCCAAGAGAUGUCAUUGUACUUGUGCCCAAACACUGCACUAUCCAGAAAAGAA